GACGAACGCUGGCGGCGUGCUUAACACAUGCAAGUCGAGCGGUAAGGCCCUUUCGGGGGUACACGAGCGGCGAACGGGUGAGUAACACGUGGGUGACCUGCCCUUAGCUCUGGGAUAAGCCUGGGAAACUGGGUCUAAUACCGGAUAUGACUCCAUAACGCAUGUUGUGGGGUGAAAGCCUUGUGCGGCUAGGGAUGGGCCUGCGGCCUAUCAGCUUGUUGGUGGGGUGAUGGCCUACCAAGGCGACGACGGGUAGCCGGCCUGAGAGGGCGACCGGCCACACUGGGACUGAGACACGGCCCAGACUCCUACGGGAGGCAGCAGUGGGGAAUCUUGCGCAAUGGGCGAAAGCCUGACGCAGCGACGCCGCGUGGGGA
rnacentral:rRNA from 1 species